AUACGGAGGGUGCAAGCGUUAAUCGGAAUUACUGGGCGUAAAGCGUGCGUAGGUGGUUUGUUAAGUUAGAUGUGAAAGCCCCGGGCUCAACCUGGGAACUGCAUUUGAAACUGGCAUACUAGAGUAUAGGAGAGGAAAGUGGAAUUUCAGGUGUAGCGGUGAAAUGCGUAGAUAUCUGAAAGAACAUCAAUGGCGAAGGCAGCUUUCUGGACUAAUACUGACGCUGAGGUGCGAAAGCGUGGGGAGCAAACAGGAUUAGAAACCCUAGUAGUCC
rnacentral:rRNA from 1 species